rnacentral:rRNA from 1 species
AGGCCCAACUCACAAAUCUCGCAGUGCAGAUUGACUCUCAAGCACAAACAAUAGCGUCAUUACACAGACACCUAGAUGACCUGGAUAACCGCAGUCGUCGGAAUAAUAAAAAAAGACAACUCUGUUCCGCAGAGUAGCUGUUGACAUUAUAGUUGCGCAGGAACUUUGUUGACUCUAGAGAACCUUGGGCAAAUAGUACAUUCCCGUAGCGGCGACUUUGCAUGCGGAUGUCAUCCAUAUCAACUUUCAAUGCCAGUUUCUGUGCCUAUCAUGGUGACCACGGGUAACGGGGAAUCAGGGUUCCAUUCCGUACAGGGACCCUGAGAAACGGCUACCACAUGCAAGGAAGGCAGCAGGUGCGCAAAUUACCCACUCCCGAUGCGGGAAGAUAGUGA